rnacentral:rRNA from 1 species
CAGUCGAGGGGCAGCAUAUGGAUUGCUUGCAAUCCAUGAUGGCGACCGGCGCACGGGUGCGUAACGCGUAUGUAACUUGCCUUAUGCAGGAGGAUAACCCGAAGAAAUUCGGCCUAAUACUCCAUAAGUGUCAGAGAGGCAUCUUUCGGGCAUGAAAGAUUUAUCGGCAUAAGAUAGACAUGCGUGACAUUAGCUAGUCGGUGAGGUAACGGCUCACCGAGGCGACGAUGUCUAGGGGUUCUGAGAGGAAGGUCCCCCACACUGGUACUGAGACACGGACCAGACUCCUACGGGAGGCAGCAGUGAGGAAUAUUGGUCAAUGGACGGAAGUCUGAACCAGCCAUGCCGCGUGCAGGAUGACGGCUCUAUGAGUUGUAAACUGCUUUUGUACGAGAAUAGUAGUUCUUACGCGUAGGGAUUUGAAUGUAUCGUACGAAUAAGGAUCGGCUAACUCCGUGCCAGCAGCCGCGGUAAUACGGAGGAUUCGAGCGUUAUCCGGAUUUAUUGGGUUUAAAGGGUGCGUAGGCUGUCGGAUAAGUUAGAGGUCAAAUGUCGGGGCUUAACCCCGUGCCUGCCUCUGAUACUGUUCGACUGGAGAGCGGAUGCAGCAGGCGGAAUGAGUAGUGUAGCGAUGAAAUGCUUAGAUAUUACUCAGAACACCGAUUGCGCAGGCAGCUUGCUAAUCCGCAUCUGACGCUGAUGCACGAAAGCGUGGGUAGCGAACAGGAUUAGAUACCCUGGUAGUCCACGCAGUAAACGAUGAUAACUCGUUGUCGGCGAUAUACAGUCGG